rfam:Triticum aestivum genome assembly, contig: Triticum_aestivum_CS42_TGACv1_scaffold_159796_2DL
UUUCUACUCCCUCCGUUCCAUAUUAGUUGUCGCUCAAACAGAUGUAUCUAGCACUGAAAUACGUCUAGAUACAUCCGUUUCGGCGACAACUAAUAUGGAACGGAGGGAGUACAUA